rnacentral:rRNA from 1 species
UACGAAGGGGGCUAGCGUUGUUCGGAAUUACUGGGCGUAAAGCGCGCGCAGGCGGCUCUUCAAGUCAGGGGUGAAAGCCCAGAGCUCAACUCUGGAACUGCCUUUGAGACUGUAGAGCUUGAGUACGGGAGAGGUGAGUGGAAUUCCCAGUGUAGAGGUGAAAUUCGUAGAUAUUGGGAAGAACACCGGUGGCGAAGGCGGCUCACUGGCCCGUUUCUGACGCUCAGGCGCGACAGCGUGGGGAUCAAACAGG